GACUGUACACGCCUUAGUCUUAUUUUGUUCAUUUGCUUUUAGGCUCUUCUUGUUUUUCUCUUUUAUAAACUUUUAAUCAUCUUAAAUAGUUUAAUCUCCAAGCUAAUUUGUACACAUAUCUGCUAUGGAAAAGGAAGCUUACCCAAUGCAGAAAGGAUACUGGUUCACUGAUUCCAUAACCUGCCAACCAGAGUACCUUUAGAUUGCUCAACCCUCUACAUUUCUCAUUGAUGCCUUCAUCUGAAAAAUGAAAUAUCAUAUUUCACCGUUGCAUAAGUUUUUCUACUGCAACCCCCCCUCCCCCCGCGAACAGAAAAGUUACACCCCCAAAUUUCGCGAAAUUCCAUCUCUCGCCAGACCGCGACUAAAGCAAACUCAAAUUUGGCAGUUUCGAAGUAAAGAGGCGUAUCUUCAGAAAAAAUUGAUUCAGAUUUUUAUAAGAAACCUAUUCCCUCUGACGAAAAAAAAAAACUAUUCCCUUUGACGGCUUUUGCUCGGAUUCAAUUGAUCUGCGUCUUUGUUCAUCUCCAUAUCUUUAUCCUGCAUUAUCGAUCAGUACCGGUGAACUUAUAAUGCGCCAUUUUACUGGUAUGUUGCAGCCUCUCUGUUUGUUCUGCUUCUUGUAAUAUUUAGCUGUUUCUUUCAUGUUAUCUUAUCUUGUUUUCGUUUUUGUUACAUUGUUGGUUAUUUGGAGUAUAUAUUUGUAGCAUCUCACUUGCUUCUUUUGCUAGUUGUUUCCAAUUGAAUUCGAGCUUAAGAAUGUGAAGUGUUGAAGAAAUUGUUUGAGUCUUUAUUCAUGGGUGUAAAACCUGUUCAAGAGUCAUCUAAUGAUGUAAUCCAGAGAGUAAGACUUGCCUUACUACCUGUUUUUCUUCUUGGUUGGGAGAAAAGAGAGAAAAAAACAAGAAGAAGAGAAAGUUCAAGAAGAAUGGGUGGAAUCUUUAGCAUUUUUUUAAUAGUAUGAUGUAGGGGCACAUAUACAAAUUGUCCGGUUCCUGCUUCUUAGAAGACAAAAUAAAGAAUGAAGGCCAGCAACUAUUAGCAUCUGUUGUGGAGUGGAUUUUAACAGUAUGAACUAGUUCUACUAUUGGUGGUCUUGCAAGAUAUGUAGGGAAUAUGAGUAUUUAUCGUGUGUUGAUUAAAAGAAGUAGCAACAUAGCAAAUGAUGGAGUCCGUACAAUAAGAGUGAGAACAAUGAUUACCAAACCAAGGUUCCUGCACCAUCUAUUCUUGAAGGAACUAACAACACUGUCUAAGAGAAAAUAAUAAGAACUGAGCAUCAAUGCCUCAGCAAGCCUACAUCAUGCUCUUCUCCUAUAAGGAUCGAAGCAGAGUGCUGCAGCUAAUCCUAGCAAGAUUGCUCCACGACAAAUCCGAUGUAGACACUCUCCUUAUACUGAAGUCAGACUCCUCUCUUCCAUUCUUGGAGGUAUUUCACAAUUUAAUACUGUUACGUUCGUCGUCUAAUGGAUGACCACAAAGAAAAGGAUUUCCUUGACAGUUGCUUUUCUCGAAAGUUUCGAACAGAGCUUUAGACUUAGGUACUGCACCAGAUAAGUUAUUGUAUGCCACGCUGAAUAUCUCCAAAGAAUGUAGUACGCUGCCAAGAAUUCUCCCAUUCAAGUUGUUGCAGGAAACGUCUAAACUCUCGAUUUCUUGUAAAUUGGAGAAGGCAUCUGGGAUUCUUCCAAUGAGAUGGUUGUGUGAUAGAUUCAAUGCAUGUAUUUUGCUCACAUUCCCGAGAUCAAUGGGAAUUUCACCAGUUAAUCUGUUACUUGAGAGAUCAAUAACUGACAUGUAUCUGAGAAUGCUUCCCUUAUAAAAGUAUGAGUUUCUUUUUGUUGAAAAAUGGACCUGGGUUUCCACAUCCAUGUAAUUGCAGUCACUUGGAAAUAACUUCUAUUGUGGUAGUGCCUUGUUGAACUUACCCAAUCCAGGAAAAUUAACCACACUUGCUUCGAAAUCCCUGUAUAAUAGAUCCCUAUUAUUUCU